UACGUAGGGGGCAAGCGUUGUCCGGAAUCAUUGGGCGUAAAGCGCGUGUAGGCGGCCCGGUAAGUCCGCUGUGAAAGUCCAGGGCUCAACCCUGGAAUGCCGGUGGAUACUGUCGGGCUCGAGUCCGGAAGAGGCGAGUGGAAUUCCUGGUGUAGCGGUGAAAUGCGCAGAUAUCGGGAGGAACACCAAUGGCGAAGGCGGCCUGCUGGGCUGUUGCUGACGCUGAGGCGCGACAGCGUGGGAGCAACAGG
rnacentral:rRNA from 1 species